UUCCGGUUGAUCCUGCCGGACCUGACUGCUAUCGGAUUGAUACUAAGCCAUGCGAGUCAUUGUAGCAAUACAAGGCAGACGGCUCAGUAACGCGUAGUCAACCUACCCUAUGGACGGGAAUAACCUCGGGAAACUGAGUAUAAUGCCCGAUAGAACAUUAUACCUGGAAUGGUUUAUGUUCCAAAUGAUUUAUCGCCGUAGGAUGGGACUGCGGCCUAUCAGUUUGUUGGUGAGGUAAUGGCCCACCAAGACUAUUACAGGUACGGGCUCUGAGAGGAGUGGCCCGGAGAUGGGUACUGAAACACGGACCCAGGCCCUAUGGGGCGCAGCAGGCGAGAAAACUUUGCAAUGUGCGAAAGCACGACAAGGUUAAUCCGAGUGGUUUCUGCUAAAGGAACCUUUUGUUAGUCCUAGAAACACUAACGAAUAAGGGGUGGGCAAGUUCUGGUGUCAGCCGCCGCGGUAAAACCAGCACCUCAAGUGGUCAGGAUGAUUAUUGGGCCUAAAGCAUCCGUAGCCGGCUCUGUAAGUUUUCGGUUAAAUCUGUACGCUUAACGUACAGGCCGCCGGAAAUACUGCAGAGCUAGGGAGUGGGAGAGGUAGACGGUACUCGGGAGGAAGUGGUAAAAUGCUUUGAUCUCUCGAUGACCACCUGUGGCGAAGGCGGUCUACCAGAACACGUCCGACGGUGAGGGAUGAAAGCUGGGGGAGCAAACCGGAUUAGAUACCCGGGUAGUCCCAGCUGUAAACUAUGCAAACUCAGUGAUGCAUUGGCUUGUGGCCAAUGCAGUGUUGCAGGA
rnacentral:rRNA from 1 species